UCUUAAAACAGUCAGAAGGACUCUGCUGCUGAGGAAACGGGCUCUGAGCACUGCAAUUGCGGGAAACAACAUGAAGGAUCCUGUUGGGGAAGCCCUUUCUGCAGAUUCGGAUCCCUUCCAGAACGCCAUUACAGCGCAGCUGGUGCAUCACCAAAGGGUUCUCCAUGGCACCAGGAGUCUUGGUCUCAUUGGGGAUGAUGCAGCGUACAAAGUGGGGUCUGUGAACCUCUGAAUGGGCUCAAGAUGUGUCCAGGGAAAUGCAGAAAGGAGAAAGCAACAUGAGACAAAUCUACUGAUUUCAUUCAAUGCACCUGUUAUUUUCACUGUGGCUAUUCUUCUCUGCAAUAUGGCGAAAUCAAUGAUCCUAAAAAGAACAAUUUCACCACUGAUUGACAGGUUAGUAGUUCCAGUUUAUUAACUAGGAUAAGCCAUACGGCAAAUGGAUGGGCGAAUGAAUGAAUGAAUGAUUCAUCCAGCACACCUCAAUGUGUUUUAAGCAUAUCAAGUUAGCAAGUGCCCUCUGCUGUUUGAAUUUUGCAAAAUCACCUGAUUGAGCU